rnacentral:miRNA from 1 species
ACCUUAGAGACCAACUAAGUUGGUUCUGGGUAUAAGCUUUUGUGUGUAUCUGAAGAGGUGUGCAUGCACACAAGCUUAUACCCAGAACAAACUUAAUUGGUCUUUAAGGU